rnacentral:lncRNA from 10 species
GGAACCCGGCUGGGACCUGGCAGGAGGUGGCCACGCGCUGAGCACGCUCCGACUGUGUGAGCUAGGGGGCCCGGCGCGGGUGCCAUCGCAGCGGGGCGCGUGGGAAGGCCAGUGUGCACGCGAAGGUCCCACUCCAGCUGGACCCUGGGUACCUGGCUGAAGACUUUGGACUUUAACCUGGAGAUGAUGGAGAGUAUGCAGGAUAAAGUCCAUACCAAAUCCAACGCCUAGCAAAUGGAGAACAAGCCAAAACUAACAAGAUAAAAUGUAGCAGGAAAAAGUGCAAAGAGCUGAAGUGUGGAAUAAGUGGGAGAGGUCUGCCAUGCCCUAUCUGACCUUGCUGCCAUGAUCUUUAAGGCUGUGUGUCCUGGUUGGUGCAGCUACAAGAUGGCAGAAAUGCCUAAGUGAUGGUAUGGAACAGAGGAUCCCUCUUCUCACCAUUGUCUUGCAUGUUUCCUUGUGUGAACCACAAAUAAACUUUUGUUAUGUUAAGCUGCUGAGA